UAUUAAGUUGGUGCAAAAGUAAUUGCGGUUUUUGCCAUUAAAAGUCAUGUCAAAAACCGCAAUUACUUUUGCACCAACCUAAUA
rfam:Pan troglodytes isolate Yerkes chimp pedigree #C0471 (Clint) chromosome 7, whole genome shotgun sequence.